UUUUUGAAAAUAAUUUAAAGUCUAAUCUGCCCCUGAUGAAAAUUAAAGGGCUGCAGUAUUUUGACUGUACAAAGGUAGCAUAAUCAUUAGUUUUUUAAUUGGAAACUUGUAUGAAAGAUUUAAUGAAAUAUAUACUGUCUCAAAUUUAUUAUUAAAACUUUAUUUUUUAGUUAAAAAGCUAAAAUAUUUUUAAAAGACGAGAAGACCCUAUAGAGUUUUAUAUUUAUUUUUAUUAAAAAAUUAUAUAAAAAUUAAUGUUUAGAAUAAAAUAAAAUAUUAUGUUGGGGUGAUAAAAAAAUUAAAUUAACUUUUUGUAAUAAUUAAUAUAAAUAAAUAAAUAAAUGAUCCAUAAAUAAUGAUUAAAAGAAAAAAUUACCUUAGGGAUAACAGCGUAAUUUUUUUUUUUAGUACAAAUAAAAAAAAAAGUUUGCGACCUCGAUGUUGGAUUAAGAUAAAAUUUAAAUGCAAAAGUUUAAAAAUUUUGAUCUGUUCGAUCAUUAAAAUCUUAC
rnacentral:rRNA from 1 species